rnacentral:rRNA from 1 species
GAUGAACGCUAGCGGCAGGCCUAACACAUGCAAGUCGAGGGGUAGAAGCAGCUUGCUGCUUUGAGACCGGCGCACGGGUGCGUAACGCGUAUGCAAUCUACCUUUUACUAAGGAAUAGCCCAGAGAAAUUUGGAUUAAUGCCUUAUGGUAUAUUUGAAUGGCAUCAUUUAAAUAUUAAAGAUUUAUUGGUAAAAGAUUAGCAUGCGUCCCAUUAGUUAGUUGGUAAGGUAACGGCUUACCAAGACGAUGAUGGGUAGGGGUCCUGAGAGGGAGAUCCCCCACACUGGUACUGAGACACGGACCAGACUCCUACGGGAGGCAGCAGUGAGGAAUAUUGGUCAAUGGAGGCAACUCUGAACCAGCCAUGCCGCGUGCAGGAUGACGGUCCUAUGGAUUGUAAACUGCUUUUGUACAGGAAGAGAAAGAGUUACGUGUAGCUUAUUGACGGUACUGUAAGAAUAAGGAUCGGCUAACUCCGUGCCAGCCGCCGCCGUAA